AACGAACGCUGGCGGCAGGCUUAACACAUGCAAGUCGAACGCCCCGCAAGGGGAGUGGCAGACGGGUGAGUAACGCGUGGGAAUCUACCCAGAUCUUCGGAACAACUGAGGGAAACUUCAGCUAAUACCGGAUACGCCCUACGGGGGAAAGAUUUAUCGGUUCUGGAUGAGCCCGCGUUGGAUUAGCUAGUUGGUGAGGUAACGGCUCACCAAGGCGACGAUCCAUAGCUGGUCUGAGAGGAUGAUCAGCCACACUGGGACUGAGACACGGCCCAGACUCCUACGGGAGGCAGCAGUGGGGAAUAUUGGACAAUGGGCGAAAGCCUGAUCCAGCCAUGCCGCGUGAGUGAUGAAGGCCUUAGGGUUGUAAAGCCCUUUCAGUAGGGAAGAUAAUGACGGUACCUACAGAAGAAGCCCCGGCUAACUUCGUGCCAGCCGCCGCCGUAAGAC
rnacentral:rRNA from 1 species